UUCGCAAUGCCCGAAAGGGUGACGAAGCGACGCCGCGUGAGUGAGGAAGGCCUUCGGGUUGUAAAGCUCUGUCAGGAGUUAAGAAAUAUAAGUGUGCUAAUACCACAUUUAUUUGACAAAGGCUCCAAAGGAAGCCACGGCUAACUCUGUGCCAGCAGCCGCGGUAAUACAGAGGUGGCAAGCGUUGUCCGGAAUUAUUGGGCGUAAAGAGCACGUAGGUGGGUUUGUAAGUCAGAUGUGAAAGCCUUCUGUUCAACGGAAGAAUUGCAUCUGAAACUGCGAGUCUUGAGUGUAGGAGGGGAGAAUGGAACUUCUGGUGGAGCGGUGAAAUGCGUAGAUAUCAGAAGGAACGCCGGCGGCGAAAGCGAUUCCCUGGCCUAUUACUGACACUCAGUGUGCGAAAGCUAGGGGAGCAAACGGGAUUAGAUACCCCGGUAGUCCUAGCUGUAAACGAUGGGCACUAAGUAGAGGGGCAUU
rnacentral:rRNA from 1 species